GACGAACCGUGCGAACGUUGUUCGGAAUCACUGGGCUUAAAGGGCGCGUAGGCGGGUUCGCAAGUCUGUGGUGAAAGCCUCCAGCUUAACUGGAGAAGUGCCGUGGAUACUGCGAGUCUUGAGGAGGGUAGGGGCAUCUGGAACGGUCGGUGGAGCGGUGAAAUGCGUAGAUAUCGGGAGGAACAUCAGUGGCGAAGGCGGCUACCUGGCCCAAUACUGACACUCAGGUGCGACAGCGUGGGGAGCAACAGG
rnacentral:rRNA from 1 species